UCUGCUUCUUUUUUUAUUUUAAUGGUGUGGAUUCUCUCUUUUGUUUUGGGACUGUAAUUGAUAAACAUGAAUUUAACACAUUUGACUGGUAGCAAUAUUCAGAGACGAAGCCGCCGGAGCGGCUAUGAACGAACAGAGAUGGAGAUUACAGAUGGAAGAAAGAGUGAAUAUUUUAGGGUUUAGCUUCAGCCGUUGGAUUUUUUUUUUGUUUCACCACGUGUCAAGAGAGAGGGCCUGGGAGGCAGAAAAGGUUUGGGGAAACAGGGAGAGUGAGUGUGAGCAGAGGAGGAGUGAGGCAAAGAGACGAAGGUAGGGAGAGAGAGAACAUUGUGAAUGGGAGACAAGGGAGUCGCGGGAGAUAUAGAGUGAGCGUAUGGUAUCUCCCUUCAGUCAUCCUCCAUUAUCUCUCUCUCCCUCUCGCUUCCCAUCUUGUCAAAAUCUAACACCUUCUUCUGAACUCGACAGUUUUCUUCCCGACCACAAACCCCUGUUAUCCAAAUCCAAAGAACUACAACAGGACUGGAUACUUCUAGUACUAUUAUUGUGUUACAAUGGCUAUAUUGUUACAGGUUAUUAUACCAUGGGAGGUACGGGUUCUUGAAAAUAGGAGGUGCUUAACCCUAACGGGUACUUCUAGUCCAAGUUUUUAUGUCUCACAGGGUUUGCACUGCUCUAUAUUUUUAAUAGGACCAAAUCAUAUGAUGUUGGAGGUGUGAUUCGUCUUUGUGAAUUUGGACUAUGAUAACUGAAAGUAACUCUUCCAUAUGUAAAUUAUAGCGUUCUGCACAUGCUUUUCAUGUUACAGGUGUGGAAUGCCCUUGGAAUAGUUGGUGUAAUUACAUCCUUGAACUUUCCAUAUGCUGUUCUUGGGGGCUAGGAAGCUUGGCUAGGCCAUUGGGAUUGGAUUGUGAACAUUGGUUCAACAAAACAGGAGAUGGAAAGAUCCCUGGAGAUGAUUCAGCAGACACCUGAUCAAUUUUUAUUUUUUUUCAAAAUGUAAAUUUAUAUUCAGUUUAUUAGCUUAUUUUGAUAUGAAAUGGAAACUCUGAGUGUAUGCAACUCCUAGGUUGAUAAUGUUUACUUCUUAAAUGCA